rnacentral:lncRNA from 1 species
CUGAUAUUGCGCCACUACACUCCAGCCUGGGCAACAGAGCAAGACUCCGUCUCAAAAAAAAAAAAAAAAUACCUGGGUGUGGUGGUGCAUGGCUAUAGUCCAAGCUACUCAGGAGGCUAAAGUGGGAGGAUUGCUUGCACCCAGGAAGUUAAGGCAACAGUCAGUGAGCAAUUAUUGCACUACUGCACUCCAGCCUGGGUGAUGCAGUGAGAUGCUGUCCUAUUUUUUUGAGACAGUCUUGCUUUGUCACCCAUGCUGAAGUGCAGCACAAUCUCAGCUCACUGCAAGCUCUGCCCCCCAGGUUCAAGCAGGUCUCCUGCCUCAGCCUGCCACGUAGCUGGGACUACAGGCAUGCACCACCAUGCCCAGCUAAUUUUCGUAUUUUUAGUAGAGAUGGGAUUUCACCAUGUUGGCCAGGCUGGUCUCGAACUCCCGGCCUCAAAUGAUCCACCUGCCUUGGCCUCCCAAAGUGUUGGGAUUACAGGCAUGAGUCACCGUGCUUGGCUGAGACCCUGUCUCUUUAAAAAAAAAAAAAAAGGCGGAAUAUUGGAAUAGACAUCAAAGCAGACAUCGGAAUGGCUAACAUGCGUAUAUAAGUGCUCAACAUUAUUAGGGAAGUACAAAUUAAAACCACAGUGAGGGCUGGGCACAGUGGCGUGUGCCUGUAAUCCCAGCACUUUGGGAGGCCGAGGCGGGCAGAUCACAAGAUCAGGAGUUCGAUACCAGCCUGGCCAAUAUGAUGAAACUCUAUCUCUACUAAAAAUACAAAAAUUAGACAGGCUUGGUGGUCCCAGCCUGUAGUCCCAGCUAUUCGGGAGGCUGAGGCAGAAGAAUCGCUUGAACCCAGGAGGCGGAGGUUGCAGUGAGCCAAGAUCGCGCCACUGCACUCCAGCCUGGGUGACAGAGCGAGACACCAUCUCAAAAAAAAAAAACCACCAUGAGAUACUACUACAUAGCCACUAAAAUGGCUAUAUCAAAAAGACUGACAGUAACAAGUGCUGACAAGGAUGUGAGGAAAUAGGAACCCUCAUAUCAUACAUUGCUAGUGGGAAUGUAAAAUGGGGCAGUCACUUUGGAAAAUAGUUUGGCAGUUUCUUAAAAUGUUAAACCUAGGCUGGGUGCAGUGACUCAAGCCUGUAAUCCCAGCACUGGGAGGCCGAGGUAGGUGAAUCACUUGAGCCCAGGAGUUUGAGACCAGCCUGGCCAGCAUGGUGAAACCCCAUCUCUACUAAAAAUACAGAAAAUUAGCUGGGCGUGGUGGUACACGCCUGUAAUCCCAGCUACUCAGGAGGCUAAGGCACGAGAAUUGCUUGAACCCAGGAGGUGGAAGUUGCUGUGAGCUGACAUCGCGUCACUGCACUUCCAGUAUGUGACAGAGAAGACCCUGUCUCAAAAUAAAUAAAUAAAUAAAUGAAUAAAUAAAUACUAUAUGACUCAACCCAUUCAAUUCAUAGCUAUCUACCCAAAAGAAAUGAAAACAAAGUUCUACACAAACUCUUGUGUGGUGACAAAAGUGACUCCAUCUUGGAUGCUAAUUUGCCAUGUUGACCUCAGAUUAACCGCAGUCCUGUGAAUGCCUCCUGAUUCCUUGUUUAUUUACUGUCUUUAAUGUAAGAAUAUGUACUCACAAUAUAUCCUACCUUUAGGUCAAAGCAACCUUGAUGUUAUCACGCAACUCAUUCUGGCCUGUUCUAGAGGGUUGCCUUUCAUUGUCUCUAUAGUGCACAUACCCUUUUUCCUGUGGUAUAUAAGUCCCGGGUCUGGGGAAUAAUGGUGUGGAGAUCUACCUGACUUGUUGCUGACCAAGACCAUGCUUGUGUCCAUAAGUUCCCUAAUAAAUUGCCCUCUGCUGAUAAACUGGAU